rnacentral:rRNA from 1 species
GGUUAAGCGACUAAGCGUACACGGUGGAUGCCCUGGCAGUCAGAGGCGAUGAAGGACGUGCUAAUCUGCGAUAAGCGUCGGUAAGGUGAUAUGAACCGUUAUAACCGGCGAUUUCCGAAUGGGGAAACCCAGUGUGUUUCGACACACUAUCAUUAACUGAAUCCAUAGGUUAAUGAGGCGAACCGGGGGAACUGAAACAUCUAAGUACCCCGAGGAAAAGAAAUCAACCGAGAUUCCCCCAGUAGCGGCGAGCGAACGGGGAGGAGCCCAGAGCCUGAAUCAGUGUGUGUGUUAGUGGAAGCGUCUGGAAAGGCGCGCGAUACAGGGUGACAGCCCCGUACACAAAAAUGCACAUACUGUGAGCUCGAUGAGUAGGGCGGGACACGUGGUAUCCUGUCUGAAUAUGGGGGGACCAUCCUCCAAGGCUAAAUACUCCUGACUGACCGAUAGUGAACCAGUACCGUGAGGGAAAGGCGAAAAGAACCCCGGCGAGGGGAGUGAAAAAGAACCUGAAACCGUGUACGUACAAGCAGUGGGAGCCUCUUUUAUGGGGUGACUGCGUACCUUUUGUAUAAUGGGUCAGCGACUUAUAUUCUGUAGCAAGGUUAACCGAAUAGGGGAGCCGAAGGGAAACCGAGUCUUAACUGGGCGUUAAGUUGCAGGGUAUAGACCCGAAACCCGGUGAUCUAGCCAUGGGCAGGUUGAAGGUUGGGUAACACUAACUGGAGGACCGAACCGACUAAUGUUGAAAAAUUAGCGGAUGACUUGUGGCUGGGGGUGAAAGGCCAAUCAAACCGGGAGAUAGCUGGUUCUCCCCGAAAGCUAUUUAGGUAGCGCCUCGUGAAUUCAUCUCCGGGGGUAGAGCACUGUUUCGGCAAGGGGGUCAUCCCGACUUACCAACCCGAUGCAAACUGCGAAUACCGGAGAAUGUUAUCACGGGAGACACACGGCGGGUGCUAACGUCCGUCGUGAAGAGGGAAACAACCCAGACCGCCAGCUAAGGUCCCAAAGUCAUGGUUAAGUGGGAAACGAUGUGGGAAGGCCCAGACAGCCAGGAUGUUGGCUUAGAAGCAGCCAUCAUUUAAAGAAAGCGUAAUAGCUCACUGGUCGAGUCGGCCUGCGCGGAAGAUGUAACGGGGCUAAACCAUGCACCGAAGCUGCGGCAGCGACGCUUAUGCGUUGUUGGGUAGGGGAGCGUUCUGUAAGCCUGUGAAGGUGUACUGUGAGGUAUGCUGGAGGUAUCAGAAGUGCGAAUGCUGACAUAAGUAACGAUAAAGCGGGUGAAAAGCCCGCUCGCCGGAAGACCAAGGGUUCCUGUCCAACGUUAAUCGGGGCAGGGUGAGUCGACCCCUAAGGCGAGGCCGAAAGGCGUAGUCGAUGGGAAACAGGUUAAUAUUCCUGUACUUGGUGUUACUGCGAAGGGGGGACGGAGAAGGCUAUGUUGGCCGGGCGACGGUUGUCCCGGUUUAAGCGUGUAGGCUGGUUUUCCAGGCAAAUCCGGAAAAUCAAGGCUGAGGCGUGAUGACGAGGCACUACGGUGCUGAAGCAACAAAUGCCCUGCUUCCAGGAAAAGCCUCUAAGCAUCAGGUAACAUCAAAUCGUACCCCAAACCGACACAGGUGGUCAGGUAGAGAAUACCAAGGCGCUUGAGAGAACUCGGGUGAAGGAACUAGGCAAAAUGGUGCCGUAACUUCGGGAGAAGGCACGCUGAUAUGUAGGUGAAGCGACUUGCUCGUGGAGCUGAAAUCAGUCGAAGAUACCAGCUGGCUGCAACUGUUUAUUAAAAACACAGCACUGUGCAAACACGAAAGUGGACGUAUACGGUGUGACGCCUGCCCGGUGCCGGAAGGUUAAUUGAUGGGGUUAGCGGUAACGCGAAGCUCUUGAUCGAAGCCCCGGUAAACGGCGGCCGUAACUAUAACGGUCCUAAGGUAGCGAAAUUCCUUGUCGGGUAAGUUCCGACCUGCACGAAUGGCGUAAUGAUGGCCAGGCUGUCUCCACCCGAGACUCAGUGAAAUUGAACUCGCUGUGAAGAUGCAGUGUACCCGCGGCAAGACGGAAAGACCCCGUGAACCUUUACUAUAGCUUGACACUGAACAUUGAGCCUUGAUGUGUAGGAUAGGUGGGAGGCUUUGAAGUGUGGACGCCAGUCUGCAUGGAGCCGGCCUUGAAAUACCACCCUUUAAUGUUUGAUGUUCUAACGUUGGCCCCUGAUC